rnacentral:rRNA from 1 species
UACAGAGGGUGCGAGCGUUAAUCGGAAUUACUGGGCGUAAAGAGUGCGUAGGCGGUUUCUCAAGUCCGCUGUGAAAUCCCCGGGCUCAACCUGGGAAUGGCAGUGGAAACUAGGAGACUUGAAUCUGGCAGAGGGGGGUGGAAUUCCACGUGUAGCAGUGAAAUGCGUAGAGAUGUGGAGGAACACCGAUGGCGAAGGCAGCCCCCUGGGCUGAGAUUGACGCUCAGGCACGAAAGCGUGGGGAGCAAACAGG